ACGCUGGCGGCACGCCUAACACAUGCAAGUCGAACGAAGUAGCAAUACUUAGUGGCAGACGGGUGAGUAACAUGUAGGUAUCUGCCCUUUGGCCUGGAAUAACACGAGGAAACUUGUGCUAAUACCGGAUAAGUCUUUACGGAGAAAGCUUUAUGCACCAUUGGAUGAGCCUGCACUUGAUUAGUUUGUUGGUGGGGUAAUGGCCUACCAAGACUGUGAUCAAUAGCUGAUUUGAGAGGAUGAUCAGCCACAUUGGGACUGAGACACGGCCCAAACUCCUACGGGAGGCAGCAGUGGGGAAUCUUGCACAAUGGAGGAAACUCUGAUGCAGCGAUGCCGCGUGAGUGAAGAAGGCCCUUGGGUUGUAAAGCUCUUUCGUCGGGGAAGAAAAUGACUGUACCCGAAUAAGAAGGUC
rnacentral:rRNA from 1 species